AUUUACAAGAUACCUUGCUCAUGAACUGGUUUCGCACGGGGUACGUGUCAAUUCAAUCAAUCCAGGCUAUGUACCCAGUCCAUUAGUGUCCAAGUUGUUGACUAAAGAAGAAGCUGAUCAGUUGCAUAGAGGUCUGGUAAAUGCGACGCCAGUUAGUCGAGCUGCUACCCCAGAGGAAAUCGGUCACAUUGUGGCCUUCCUAGCCUCGGAGAAAGCAGCUUUUGUAACUGGGGAGUGUUUCAGGGCCGAUGGUUGGCUCUCAAUGACCACACCAGCCCUUGCCUGAAACUGUUGUGGGACGCUUGAGGCCUGGGCGGAUCUACCAUUAGCAGAUUGAGUAAGAAACAUUUA